UUCUGACAUCUAUAUAAAAUUUUGGCAGCAUCUCCUUUGCAAAAUUGCAUAAAUGAGGGGGGACAACAGUGUAUAAACACAUAUCAUGACAAAAACAUACCAAGUAUUAUUAAUCGGCUAGCAAAGGGAAGUUAAACAUACGACAUGAACUGAAUUAACCAGUGCGCACGACUAGCAAAAAAAUAAACUUCUUUUGACAACAAGUUUCUAAUUAAAUCAUGGCUACGCCUGGGCAGCGCUAUUAUGAGAGUGAAAGUGGACGUGCUGCUACUCCCCUCAUUCCCAACAUGUAUCAAGUACCUGCAUUGAGUAAUGCAAGAGUGAGAUGACACAUCUCAGCAAGCAAAAUAAUAUCAAAUUGUUUAACCACAUAAGAAUAUUGUUUUACCACCACUUGAUUUCACAACCUUCUUAUUACAAAGGUGCAGCACGUAUACAACGUACAACACUCCUAGCUACCACACCUCGCAGGUAGAAACCACAAUAGUAACAUAGUAAUGUCACUCUUCAUAUAUAUACCUCAUGAGUGCAAAUGUCUACAAAUGCAAGGAUGACUUCUGCCUUCAUACCUCUAAGGAUAUGAAGCCGCAUCGUACCCCUCCUCGGGCAACGUACGAUGCUAAAAAUGUACCGGUACAGUCGGACCAUAAGAUCACGACAUAACUUCAGAAUGCAAGAUGGAUGAUGCAAUGUGCAUGACAUGCCUACAACACUUCAUAUAACGUGAUUCAAAAAAAAUACUUCAACUCAAUCCAUGAUGGGAAUCAACCACAUAUAUCAUUACCAAAUCAUGAUCAUCCACAAUAUUAGACAAUUGAGAAUUAAUACUUUCGAACAAAUAAACUUCAUCAUAGAAUUCAAUGAUUAACAUAUUUAAAACUUAUGCAUACUCAAUGACAGGGAAUAGGAUGCAAACCAAACGGUAGCAACCACCACUGUAUUUACUUGCCUUUACCGGAAGUUUGGGCAAAUCCCUAAGUACGAUCCGGAAGUCCACCACCUGUUUUUGACACACAACUUAGUGCACCAAUUUCACAUAACCAGGCUCAUAAACGACGCCGCACCUACGCACAAACUCAAGCCCCGCCGCGGGUUACAUCUCUCCCCACACCCACCAAACUGCAGCGGCGCUGCUUAAUAAUUUCAUAACUUCAAAAUUAUGACAGCAUUGGUAACAAACAAAAACUCCAGAGGCAUCUACAUAAAAUUCCCCACAAGUUUUGUAUACAAUUUAUAAUUAAAUUCCAACAUCUAAUUAGCCCAAAACAGUUCACAAGAUGAACCCUGUAAUCUGUUUUUUUCUCUUUUGGACAGCGACAUACCCGGAUUCAAACAGCGAUAUCUUUUAAAAUAUAAUUCCAAUUCAAGCGCAUAAGUACUCAUUGGAAAGAUAAGACAAAGCCAUACAUGAUUAUCAUACUGGUUAGCACUAAUUAACCACGAAAAAUUCCCAGAAAUUGCUAAUACUACUGCUGUUCACCCACCUGAAAAAUCUGUUUUUUUUGGACAGCAACAUACCCGGAUUCAAACAGCGAUAUCUUUUAAAAUAUAAUUCCAAAUCAAGCACAUAAGUACUCAUUGGAAAGAUAAGACAAAGCCCUACAUGAUUAUAAUACUGGUUAAUACUAAUUACCCACGAAAAAUUCCCAGAAACUGCUAAUACUACUGCUGUUCACCCACCUGAAAAAUCUGUUUUUUUGGACAGCAACAUACCCGGAUUCAAACAGCGAUAUCUUUUAAAAUAUAAUUCCAAAUCAAGCACAUAAGUACUCAUUGGAAAGAUAAGACAAAGCCCUACAUGAUUAUAAUACUGGUUAAUACUAAUUACCCACGAAAAAUUCCCAGAAACUGCUAAUACUACUGCUGUUCACCCACCUGAAAAAUCUGUUUUUUUGGACAGCAACAUACCCGGAUUCAAACAACGAUAUCUCCUAAAUUAUAACUCCGAAUCGAGCGCAUAAGUACUCGUUAGAAAGGUAUGACAAAGCUCUACAUGAUUAUCCCACUGAUUCCCACUAAUUACCCCACGAAAAUUCCCAGAAAUCCCUAGAACUACUGCUGUUCACCCACUCACAAAAUUCCUGGACAGCACCUCUACCGAUUCGCAAAGAUAAACACAUAAUCCAAUUGAUUGCAGCACAAAAACAACAAAAGUUAAUCACAAAUUCACCUUAGGUUCUUCCCUUCCUCCUUCCUUCUUCCUCCCUCCAAACUCCAAUUGAGAUUGCAGCCACACGACGGAGAACCACACGGGAGGGCUGCACCUUGGAGGAGGGAGAGAAAUGGGGGGGCGGCUAGGGUUUUGGGUGGUGAGGGCUGCAAAGGUUUGAGGAGGAAGAAGAUGGGAGAGG
rnacentral:lncRNA from 1 species